UUAAAGGACUAUGGUUUCGAAUAGAACCAAUCAGACUACUCUCUCUUUGUUUACGAUUCAGAACAAACCAAAAUUUAUGUUUUCGUUUACGUGGACGACUUGAUCAUAACUGUAAAUUAGGUUUCAGUCAUAGCCAACUUCAAAGAAUAUCUCAGCUCAUGUUUUCACAUGAAAGAUCUGGGCAUCCUAGCGAUACUUUCUUGGCAUCAAAGUAGCUAGAAACCCAACUGGCAUCUAUCCAGGCCAACGAAAAUAUGCUUUGGAUUUGAUCGCUGAAACAUGACUCCUUGGAGUCAAACCAGCCUCUUUUGUUCUCGAGCAAAACCACAAACUACCUAUUGUCGAUGGAGACUUUCUCUCGGAUCCUACUUGCUAUCGUCACUUGAUAGGGAAAUUGAUUUACUUGGGCACUACCAGGCCUGAGUUAACUUAUCCUAUCCAUAUUCUAUCGCAGUUUAUGAGUGCUCCAAUGUCAGAACAUUAGAAUGCAGCUCUCAGAGUACUGAGAUAAUUGAAGAACAGUCCUAGACAAGGUAUAUUACUUCGCGCCAAUACUGAACUCAAACUUACAGCUUGGUACGACGCUGAUUAGGGUGCAUGUCCCUUAACGCAUCAUUCUCUGACUGGCUGGUUAAUCUAGUUCGGUGGCUCACCUCUUUCAUGGAAAACAAUGAAACAAGAUCGUGUCUCUCGCUCCUCCGCAUAAGCCGAAUAUAGGGCUAUGGCUGACACAGUCUGUGAGAUCAUCUGGAUCCAUGAAUUGCUUCCUGAUUUUGGUGUUGAGUGCUCUGGACCCAUACCGAUUCACUCCGACAGCCUAUCAUCCAUCAAACUUGCAGCUAAUCUGGUUUACCACACAAGGACCAAGCAGGUGGGCAUGGACUGCCACUUCAUACGUGAUGAGAUCAUCAAAGGCCUUAUUACCACACACCAUGUCUCAUCGGAGUCACAGCUAGCUGAUAUCAUGACUAAAGCAUUGGGGCGUCGGGAAUUUGAAGAUUUGUUGGUCAAGUUGGGUGUUUUUUUAUCUUCACACUCCAUCUUGAAAGGGGAUAUUUGGCUUAUGUAGUCCUCAUACGAGUCUCAUUUAGAUUGUAAAUAGGUUUACAUUUUAACGUCUCUACAUCAUGUGUAUAAUACAUGUAGGUUACACCUCCGAUCGUAAAUAAUAAGAAACACUUUCAUAACCUCUCUAGUUUCUUGACAGUUACAUCCUAAACCCAUAUAUGAAAUGCGUAACUCACUAUAUGAUAAAUAUAUGAGAAAUUACUUAUAAUUACUCUAAUUAUACAUGUAAUGACUAAACUAACCCUUAUAAUUUUAUAAUAACUAGAAUAACACAUCUAUUAAGCAAAGUUACCCAAACACCCCUGUCGGUAUUUUAAUAUGCCGUUAGAGUUGUUAAUAGAAAUAGAUUUUAUUAUUUUCUAAAAAUCAGAACCUCCUUUUAUUCUUGCCCGAAGAGGCGAAGACGUUCUAACUGGUAACCAUAAAGGAAUAUAAGGAAUAUAAAGGAAAUGAAUGAAGAGAAAUAAAAUAAGAGGAAAAUUUAUUCCUCUCCUAAUUUGAUAAGGAAUAAUUGUAUAGUCUAUUAUUCCUUAAAUUUUAAGGAAUGUUAAGGAAUCAUAACUAACAAAUAUUCCUUGUAAAUAGUGUAAAUUGUAAUGAAUGAUAAGUAAAUUUACUAUUCCCACUCAUUCUCUUGGUCACCAUUUAGACACGUAGUCUCCGUCGCAGAAGAAGAACCCCACUCGGUAACCCUAACUCGCCUUCAUCUCCGCCACCUUUGUCUACACCUUCGUUAUCUCUAUCGGCGACCAUCGUUUCACUUCUUUAACUUCUAUGGCGAUUUUUAAACCGCACAAUCAUCAUCGGAUCAGAGAUCUCUAGAAUCCCUUUAAGUUCUUCAGGAUUAGUCACUGUCCAUUCCUCUUCUUUCAUAAGCACUGUGUUUCUCUAAUUUUGUUUGUGAUCUUCCUUCCUCGCUUUUCCAGAGUGAUUUUUCUAACAGAGUCGCCAGAAAAUCAAUCCGUUGCUUCCAAAAGUUGUUCCUUCUGAUCAGAGAGAUGACAUGGCGAUUGUAUCUUUGGCUGAGCAACAAACAACAACUUGAGAUAAACUUGUGUUCACGUCUUCUACGACUCGUUCUAAAGUAAUUUGGAAGAAGAGAGACAGAUACUAGAGAACGAGAAGAAACAUGACGAUGUUAUAAAUACUCAUAUGCUUGCUUUGACGAUAUGAUCUCAUCAGAAGAUGUAUUAGUAAUUUAGUAUCAAUUGGUCGAGA